UUCGCCAGGGGACUACGAGCGUAAGCUUAAAACCCAAAGGACUUGGCGGUGCCCUACACCUCCUAGAGGAGCCUGUUCUAUAAUCGAUGAUCCACGUUAUACCUCACCGUUUCUUGCCAAACCCGCCUAUAUACCGCCGUCUCCAACUUACCCUAUGAAGGAUUCACAGUAGGUUUAAAGAUCACUCAUCAGAACGUCAGGUCAAGGUGUAGCGAAUGAAACGGGAAGCAAUGGGCUACAUUUUCUAUCUUAGAUCACACGGAUAAUCAAUAUGAAACCUGAUUAUGAAGGAGGAUUUAGCAGUAAAAAGAAACCAACAUGUUCUUUUUAAGUCGGACCUAGGGCGCGUACACACCGCCCGUCACCCUCUUCAACUCAUUUCACUAUAUUUCAUAAUAAAAUUACUAGAGAUAAGAAGAGGCAAGUCGUAACAUGGUAAGUAUACCGGAAGGUGUACUUGGAAC
rnacentral:rRNA from 1 species